rnacentral:rRNA from 1 species
GUGGCAAACGGGUGAGUAACGCGUAGGUAAUCUGCUCCAAAGUCGAGAAUAGCUCGCCGAAAGGCGGGAUAAUACUUGAUAGUCCCAUAUCACUUCGGUGUUUAUGGGUAAAGCUCCGGCGCUUUGGAAGGAGCCUGCGUCCUAUCAGCUAGUUGGUGAGGUAAAAGCUCACCAAGGCGAAGACGGGUAGCUGGCGUGAGAGCGCGACCAGCCACAAUGGGACUGAGAACGGCCCAUACUCCUACGGGAGGCAGCAAUUAGGAAUCUUGCGCAAUGGGGGCAACCCUGACGCAGCGACGUCGCGUGGAGGAUGAAGGUCCUAGGAUCGUAAACUCCUUUUAUGUGGGAAGAAUACAUGGCUGUACCACAUGAAUAAGCACCUGCUAACUACGUGCCAGAAGCAUCGGUGAUGCGUAGGGUGCGAACGUUAUCCGGAUUUAUUGGGCGUAAAGAGAUGCGUAGGCGUUUUAGUAAGUCUUUUGUGAAAAACCUCGGCUUAACCGAGGAACCGCAUUGGAAACUGCUAGAAUUGAGACAGAGAGGGGUGAAUGGAAUUCCCGGUGGAGUGGUGAAAUACGUUGAUAUCGGGAGGAACACCAGAGGCGAAGGCGAUUCACUGGCUCUGUUCUGACGCUAAGGCUCGAAAGCGUGGGUAGCAAAACGGAUUAGAUACCCGUGUAGUCCACGCUGUAAACAAUGGAUGCUAGCUGUUUGGCACGACCAAAGUGUUGAGUGGCGCAGCUAACGCGAUAAGC